UGGCUUCCUGGAUUUUCACUAGAGAUAGUGAUUGGCUUCCUGCAAGUCUGACUUAGCGGACUCUGACUUCUUGGGUUGCUUUUUGUUGAUAAGGAGGUCGAUUUUCUGAAACGGCUGCUAUCAUGGGCUUCCAGUGCAUUGCUUCAUUUACCGUGGGAGGAAAGUGCUUUUGAAGCUCCAAAUCCAAUCCCUGAAGCAAGAUUAAUAAACAAAGAUCUUCUCCAGUGUGCAAAUCCUCAUGGGACUUAGGUGGAUUAGCUACAGCCUAGACCCGAGGCAUGUGGCACACCUGUGCAUUGCCACAUAUAGUUCAGAAAUAACACCAGUUCAUGUCUACAACAAGGCCUUUGAACCUGAGUAUUCUCUUUCUGGUGUUCAAUGCUGGAGCUGCAGUGAGAGCCUGCCGUUCCCCAAAUUUUGCCCCUGAGGCGCCUUACUUGUCUCACCAUAAUCUAGUUCAUUUGAACACUUCUCCAAAUACACUGUAGGAGUACAACGGAGUUAGCUUGUUUCAAGGGAGAGUUUUUUAUUGGGAAGAUGACCUAAUUGGCUAAGUUCAAGUUUGUGGAAACAACAUAUCUGAGGAAUCCGAAUCAGAUCGAUGAAAUAGACAGAGUUUCUAGCAACUGUACUGUGAAUAACGUCCUGAAAGAUGCUGCUGCUGGAACUCGAUUCCACAGCUAUGGGCGUUUGUUGGAAGGCACCCAAAAGGGAUUCCAAGGGCCCUGCCUCUACUGACUGCCAUUUAUUCUUAAAGCACUAGGCUCAACAGUUGAGCUUUGUGUGGUAUUGAGUGGGUUUUGUGAUUACUUGUUUGCCAUUGUUAGUGUCAGCCUGUCAACACCUUGAAGGGCAGAGCAUUUUUUGUUUGUUUUGAAAAUUACUCAAUAGCAAAUCCUUAAUUAUACAGCAGUAUGGCUUUUUGAAAGGUUGAGUGAUGCACUGCUGUUGUUUUAGAUUUCUUUCAGGCUAAAUCUUAUGGGGUGUAUAGCCUUCAAUAACUAAAUGCAUAUAAUGCAGUUGAAUCCCCCUUGAGCCUGCCAUUAAUUAUCUCACAUAUAUCUUCAUUUUCAGCCUAGUGAUGUGGGCCAGCAUUCAAGACAGCUAGAAAAGAUAUCCAGUAAAGGUUUUGAAGUUCCUUUGUAUGGAUGGAUUUAUGAUAAUAGACACAUGUGAACCAUACACACAUACAUGCAUGUAUGCACACAUCUACUUUGACAUCUACAUCUGCUUAAUACCACAUUCAUGGAUAGACGUAACACAUGCACAUAUAAAUGUGUCACACACAUCUUUACAUAUAUAUGCACACUCGCAUGUUUAUUGUAUUUGAAUUUUUUGGUUGCAAGUAACAAGAAACCAAACUCAAAUACACCUAAACCAUAAAAGGAAUCCAUAAGUUCGCAAAGGUUAUUUCAUUCCCUCUUUCCCCUAUAUCCCAAGGUUGAUCCUCUUUAUGUUUGUGAAAUGGCUGCUAAAAACCUCCAUAUUGAAGUGUAGCAGGAAGAGUAUGUCUUUUUGGAUAGCUUCUUUGGAAAAGUGAGGAAGCUUUUUUCUCAGAAAUCUUAACAGACCUUCUCUCAUUUUUUAUUGUUGGAAUUGAGUUUCAAGCCCAUCACUAAUUUAAUCCCUGUAACCAGUGAGAUGAAAUAUGAAGAUGGCCUUAAAUGAAUCCCUGGAGCUGAUGGGUUAUUACGUGGGACCCAGGGUCAGAUUUUCCAGAAACAUUUAGGCUGCAUAGGGUAAAAGGCAGAUACCCAAUGGAAAAUCAAACUCUGUUACCAAGAGGUAGGUUGCCCAAAUCCUGGGUGGCUCAUGUUCAUAAAUGUGCCUACCCCGGCUCCUGCACAUGUGCACACACACAACAUGGCUGUUAGAAUUUCCACAACCAAAGAUUCCCUUUGUUACUGAAUUGCUUUCUGCACCUCGUGUUUUGACAGAUUCUGUCUACUAAGAAACUGAGAGCAAUAUGAUCACUAAUUCAUUUUCGCAUUUUCAUGCCUGAGAAGCUGGUAUUACCACAAUGAGUUUAUGUAAUUCCAGCCAAUAUUAAAGCAAUACGAUUGAUGUUUUAGGUAGCCUGGGAGACCUUAUAGGAAGUAAAUGUACAGUUGUAAUUAGAAUUAUUGAAAUCUUAAAAAUAGCAGAUUAUUUGCAGGAGUUGGGGGCCUUUUUGAGAAGCAAUUUUGUAAAAUGUUCCUUCUUAGGUCAAAAUUUGGCUAGACCUUUCUUGGUAGAUGCAGGAAACCAUGAUGACUAAUCCAUUGCACAAAUCACUGCAAGUAGAUGUGCCCUUUGCACCUGCCCCUCUUUCACGUUCCCUUCCACUUCCUUUCUUCUCCAAUGACACGAUAUCACUGAAGAGGCUCUCCUCUGGAAGAAAAUACUUUGAAGUCAUUUAACUAUGUUAAAAAAAAAAAAGCUUGAGGAAGCAGUUUGUUUUCAGAGAGUGUAUUUAUCAACAACUUUCCACUCUCAGUAGUUUAGAAAAAUAAAAGUUUAUUUCUUAUUUACACCAUAGUUUAAAGUGGGUUGUUCACAGGCUGUUAUGGGGCUCUGCUCCAUGCUGUGAUACAGAGAACCAGGCUCCUUCCAUCUAACAGUUCCUAGGGCCUUGGAGUCUUCCAGUGGAGCCUGUGUAUCCAGCCAGUGGAUGAAAGAAGGCUGAUGAUACAUGGCUGAAACAUGAAUGAUUAUGUAAGCAGAUUGCAGUGUCCCUGCCUGGCAGUGGUACACAUUACCUGCCUACAUUCCAUUGGCUAGGACACAUAGUGAUGUGACCACAACGAUUUGCAAGGUUGCUGAAAAAUGUAGUCAAAAUGUGUGCCCAGAUGGAAAGGGAAACAAGGGUGGCUAGAACACACAGGCAUCUUUGCUACCGAUAGACAAACGUUCAUUUAGAAUCUUACUUUUUCUCCUACACAGGUAUGCAGGAACAUUUUGAAUGCCAGAGUUUUUGAAUCUCAGCAAUUCAAAUUGGGUCAAGAUUAUGACUAAUAGGGCUGAAUUCUUAUUAAAGAACAGCUUGUUUUACAGUUAACAAAUAAAGUUUUCUGCAAGA